CCUGAUAAGGGUGAGGUCGGUGGUUCAAGUCCACUCAGGCCUACCAGAUUCGCUCCCGUGCUUUGUUGUGGCAAAGCUCGCAUACUUCAGUAUGCUUCGCUUCACCACGCCGCGCCCGGAAACGAAUCAAAGGUAAGAGGUUCUGACUACACGAUGGGGCUAUAGCUCAGCUGGGAGAGCGCCUGCUUUGCACGCAGGAGGUCUGCGGUUCGAUCCCGCAUAGCUCCACCAUCUCGUGAGUGUUUACGAAAAAAUACUUCAGAGUGUACC
rnacentral:misc_RNA from 1 species